CCUGCCAACAGGCAUGUGAAUGAGCCAUUUUAGAAGCUGACCCUCUAACCAUGUUCAAGCUUUCAAAUGACUGCAACCACUGCUGACAUGCUAAAUGCAACCACAUGAGAAACCCUGAGGCAGAAAAACCCAGGCUAGAGUACAAAUGUGAAUAACAUCACAUGCCAAUCAUUCAGGAGUUAUUCAAUAUGCACUGAUGACCCCAAGAGCAGUGAAAAUAACCGUGACAGAAGCUUCCUGAUGACUGGGUACAAGGACAAUUUUUCUCUUAGUAUCCAGACUCAAGUCCUCAAGUCUGCAAAACCAUGAGAACAAUAACACUUUACCAUCAGAACAAUAACACUUUACCAUCAGAGACAUUCUCCAUUGUACACAGAGUACAGAUCAAUUCCAGUAUUCUUAAAUGGGUGAAAUCGGAUUAAAAUGGCCAGCAUGAAGAGGCAUCAGAAUGGGGAAGAUGCAGUCUUGCUCUAUCACCCAGGCUGGAGUGCAGUGGCGCAAUCUCCGGUCACUACAACUUCUGCCUCCCGGGUUCAAGCCAUUCUCCUGCCUCAGCUUCCUGAAUAGUUGGGAUUACAGUGAAGCCUAAAGAGUCAUCCUCCAACCUUGACAACCCUUCACCAUUAUAAUGGAACAAGUCCCAGAUGAGAACAACAGCCAUCUCAGGCAGUCACAAUUUUCUGCAGUAGAAAUUCAAUGAAAGCCUCUGAUGGAUACAAAACACUGUGUUGGGAGCUGCGGUGACAAGAUCGAAGGGACAUAGAUGACCCUUUCAAAAAAUAAAAAGAGCUC
rnacentral:lncRNA from 1 species